rnacentral:lncRNA from 1 species
CGGAGGAUAAGAGGGAAGAGAGGAAUGAAAGGAACAAUGAUUUGGGGUGGGCUUGUGUUUUGAUGUUGGAAUCGUUGAUUCCGGUGAUGAUGGAUCCUGUUUUGGGUAAUGAGAGGAAAUUGGUGACUCCAAGUGUGAAGGAUAAGGCUAAUGAGAUUGCGGAGAUUUGGAAGAGGAGUUUGGAUGAAAGAGGUGGGAUUGAGAAUGUGAAGACACCAGAUGUGCAUACUUUCUUGCAGCAUUUGGUGACUUUUGGAGUUGUGAAGGAUGAGGACUUCGAUUUGUAUAGGAAACUUGUUGUUGGGUCUGCUUGGAGGAAACAGAUGCCUAAACUUGCUAUCUCUCUUGGCCUUGGUGAUAAAAUGCCUGGUAACCUUUUGUGUUUAUGUUAGUCCAUGUUGUUUAUGUUGUUGCUUUGGCAUGAAAAAAUAGGAGUAGUUUGAACUCCAUGGUGAAAUGGGUCUAAAUUCAGCAAAGUGGCUUGGGAUUUAGUGGUAGUUUUUGUUGUCAUCGGUCUUCUUGUUCUGAGUACUUGUUAAUUAGGAAAUUUAGCUUAGUAGCUUUGAUUGAGUGACCAUGUGUUGCAAUAUUGUCAUUUUGCCCUUGUUUUUCCAUUUCUUGAGCUGGGAUUCCUUAUGGGAUGUUUUCUCAAAGCCAAAUUAGGCUAUUAACUGAGAUCUACUGUUGGUAUUAGGAAAUCUUACUUAAUAAGGGCUAUUAUCAGACCAGAGAAGUGGGUCUUUGCAAGGGGACUUCCAUAGUUUGAAUGGUGGAGCUGCUUCUGAGGUGUCUCCUAGCUAGUCUCGGGAAUGGUCUUUUGAUUUAUGCUAGUAUUUUUUUCAGUCUGCCAUUUUAUGUUAUGAUGUUCAGCUAAACUGUUGUAAUCUGAGGGCAUUCUUACUUGUGUAGUCGAGUAGAUUAGGAGUUGUAUGAGAUAGAUCUUAUCUUCACUACUGAUGAGAGUCCCAUGUGGUGUUUAGUUGUUUAGUCCUAGUUGGCUGUCUCCUUGUCGUGGAAAAUUUGCCCGGCGACAUCAAAUGCUUUGUUUGUGGUUGAGUUUGAAUUCUGUAUUUUCAAAAUAAACAUCUAAAGCAUGUUCAUCGAGGUCCAGCUUUUUCUCCUCCUAUCUUGAUUGGUUAUAACAACAUGCAUUCCCUUUGCUUCUUCUGUGGAAGUGCUAUGUCUAUAAAGCGAUGAAAAUGAAUGCCUAGACUAGUCACAUGCCUUAAAUUCUUUCUGUAGUUCUAUUUGUAAAGUAUGGUGUAUCAAAUAUUAUUCUUCAGUCCUCCAUUUUUGUAUUGAACUGUUGGAAGAAACACAAUGAGAACUUUCCGAAAGCAGGAUCUAAGGUAGUGUUUGAGGGCAAGUAAUUUGUGCUUAUGCACAUGAAACCUGCUAUUUUGGGAUCUCCAGAGCAUCCCUCUUUUUUCCGAUCUAGAUGCUUUUAUAUUUAUAUACCAUCUUAAUGGGGUUUGUUUGGCUGUAGGUAUGUGGUGAGGUAAUAGAUUUAAGGAUUGUCACUCACUUGCAAUUUCAUUUUUUAUCUGUUACUUAAGAAAUGAUUCUUGGUAUGUAAUUAUGCUGUUAUUUUUGUCUGCAGAGAUGAUUGAAGAACUGAUCAGCCGGGGACAGCAAGUUGAUGCUGUACAUUUCACUUAUGAAGUUGGACUUGCAGAUAAGUUCCCUCCUGUUCCUCUUCUGAAAGCUUUUCUAAAAGAUGCGAAAAAAGCUGCUGCUGCAAUCCUGGAAGAUCCUAAUAAUUUUGGUCGAGCUGCGGUAUUGUCCUAUUCUUUUUCUCCUGCUAUGUAUCUCAUCUAGCUAUCCUGUAUCUGUUUUCCAGAUUGUCCCAGUUAUCUUGUUCGACAGUAGUGGUAGUUGGCUAUGAUUGUCUCUGUCUCUCUUUCUGCUAUUCUCUCUCUGCCAAUAACGCCAUUAGGUUCAGUCAUUGUAACUAUACUUCUUUUUUUGGAAAGAAAAUUUUAGGUGUUCAGCUUUGCCAAGUUCUGCAUACUUCUGUUUGUGCUUCUGUAGAAACUAGAGGGUGUAGACAUAGUCAGUGAAGUGUUGCCUAACUUCUUGAUGUAAUAAUGGAAGAAAUCUUGGCUCCCCUCACAGCAUGUCUGUCCUAGAUAUGCUAUGAUGCCAUUGAGCUCUAAGCUCUAAGGUUCAUGUGAAAGUUUAACGAUUUGUGGUUGCAUUCAAGAUUACGACGACAACAGAGACAUGGGGGUUAUUUAUGGAUGUUUGUUUAUUUGAAUUUACUCAUUUGUUGCGUAUUCAUGUUUUACAGCAUUUUGCUUCUAAGAAAGAGCAAUCAGCAAUUCGUUCUGUUCUCAAGUGCAUUGAAGAAUACAAGCUUGAAGCUGAAUUUCCACCCGAGAACCUUAAGAAGCAGCUUGAGCAAUUGGAGAAGCCGAAGAAUGAGAAGAAGAGGCCAGCUGCUGUACCAGCAAACAAAAGAACGAG